AGAAAGCUUCGAUCAACAAUAGUAACUAGAUUUCGGGUCGGUGCAUAAAAUCCGUCUCGUCAAAUAACAGCGCACUUGAAAUGUGAGCUCUUAUUUUGUUUAGUUCACUUCAAACACAGCCAAUGUCAACCCGUCUCACAAUACCGCAGUGUGUAUUCAAAAGUUGCAAAAAUAAGGCCCGAAAAAGCAAUUUAACGGCCGGAGUAUCUUACUUUCGCUUUCCUAGCAAUCACGUGUGCAGAAUGGAUCUCGAUUGUCGCCAGAGAAACAAGAGAUGACUUUUAUAAGCCAGCUAAGAACUCCGCUUAUUGACACUGGACAUCUUUGCCUUUCGUGCUCACGGCUACUGAAAUGUGGCCGAAACAUUGUAAUAAAAAUACCACGCUUGAAACCGUUUAAACGUUGUUUUAUUAUGUGCACUGAUCGCGAAAACUUAAAAAUAUAUAUUACACAAAAACGUAACGCUAAUAAAAUAAUAAGUAAUGUAUAGAUACUAACAAACAUACAUUUCCAAAACAUAAAAAGUAAACAACUAAACUUUUACUUUAAUUCAUUAAUAAAUUAUUUUAGUGUUAAGCGCGACUCCCUUACCUCCUGUAGUAAAUAGAAAUCGGCAUUUCAAGAA